rnacentral:rRNA from 1 species
AGUGAACACUGGCGGUAGGCCUAACACAUGCAAGUCGAACGGCAGCACAGUAAGAGCUUGCUCUUACGGGUGGCGAGUGGCGGACGGGUGAGGAAUACAUCGGAAUCUACUUUUUCGUGGGGGAUAACGUAGGGAAACUUACGCUAAUACCGCAUACGACCUACGGGUGAAAGCAGGGGAUCUUCGGACCUUGCGCGAUUGAAUGAGCCGAUGUCGGAUUAGCUAGUUGGCGGGGUAAAGGCCCACCAAGGCGACGAUCCGUAGCUGGUCUGAGAGGAUGAGCGGGCACAAUGGAACUGAGACACGCGCCAGACUCCUACGGGAGGCAGCAGUAGGGAAUGUUGGAAAAGGGGCGAAAGCCUGACCCAGCAAUGCCGCGUGAGUGAAGAAGGGCUUCGGAUUGCAAAACUCUUUUGAUGGGGAAGAAAAAAUGCAGAAGGAACCACGCCCGUCCGGACGGUACCUAAACAGAAAGGAACGGCGAACUACGUG